rnacentral:lncRNA from 1 species
ACCCGUCGUCAUCAUCUCCAUCUUCUCUCAAAACACUCUCAACCUAACCCUAGUUCUAACACGCCGUCACUGGCAUAUAUCUUCUCCUUAUGAAGCUUCCAUGGCUUCUCCGUCCAGUCUUGGCCUUCUGCACGCCAUGGCUCCUUGAUUUUUUUGGAUCCUUGAGAAGAUCUCGAAGAACCUAGUUGGUUCUGGUUUGAAACUUUACUCGUUAACCUGUCUCAGGCCAUUGUUCGACUGUGAGUGAGAACUUCUUUUUAUUUUGUUACGAAUCUAUGGGUUCUCGACCUAUUCUCUCAUCUCUGCUAUUUUUCUGAAAACCCUAGUUCACUGUUGUCGACUCUUCUCACAUCUUCAUAGAUCUGAGAUGAUUUGGGUAAUAUCAAGUGUUUUCCUCCAAAAACCCCUUACUUGAAUUGAUUAUCUCCCUUUUUAAUCAUUCUUCUUAAACUAGGGUUUAUCCCAAACUGUUUUUCCAAGACUUUUCUAAGUUAUUAAUGUUUAAUAAGAUGUUUCUUCUUCACCUCGAUUGAUUUUUUGCAUGAGCGUUCAAACCCUAGUUGAUUUUAUAUGCUGAUUUUCCAGUCUUUGCUUCGAUUUUUGGGUCUUUUCAUGUUACCAAUUGUAUUAAUUUACUCCAUCUUUUGGACUUAAACGUUUUUACUUGUUAAAUCAGUAUGUUUGUGUUUUUGCCCUAAUUAAUAUCUAUUAGGUUUUUCAUCCGUCUCCGGUUAAUUUCUGUACCUUUGUGAAGUUUUACUUAGCCUAUUUUCUAUUUGUGGAAGUUGAUACUACUUUGAAAUUCUGGAUGAUUGAUUUGCUUUUGACUGUUUCCUUGUUUAUGACCACAAUUUUUUCAUUCAUGCCUUAUUUAAUUGUCUGUACAAUUGCAGAUCUUUGCUGAUUCUUACAUAGUACGAUUAGGGUCCUUUCUUUAAUUAAGCCCCUGUAUUACCAUUUGAUCAAGGAAUCUAUUCUAAACUUCCUUUGUUUGGUUCGAACUCCUUGCCUUAUUUAAUCCCUAUUAUUAUUGUUUGUCUAAUUGCCCUUAAUUAAGGGAGGUCUAUGCUGAACUCCUUUGUAUGAUUGAAUUUUGUGACCCCUUAAUUGCUGAUUCCUGAUUCCUUUACCUUAUCUGCUCUACUCUUGAACUGCUAUAUAAGCACUCUUGUUUUACCUCUCAAGGGGACGAACAGUAAUGUCAUGACCCC